GGCAGCGUGGCCUAGAGGAAAGAACCUGGCUCUGGGAAUUAGGAGGUCCUGGGUUCUAAUCCCAGCUCUGCCG
rnacentral:tRNA from 1 species